rnacentral:lncRNA from 1 species
ACUGACAACACUCCCAGCAGCUGAGGGGGAUAAGACCUCCAGGCUCAAGGGUGAGCUCUACGGCCCAACACAGCGUCCACCACACUGACGCAAUAUGAUGCCGACAAAAUAAACAGGCUUUUCGAUCUUCUGUAACUUGAAGGAACUGUCACAGCCACCUCAACCUUCAGCAACCACCACUGUUCAAGGCAACAUCCUUCAGCAGCAGAAAGAUUGACUCGCUGUAGGCUCAGACAUGGGGCCUCACUAUGUUUCACAGGCUGGUCUAAAACUCCUGAGCUCCAGGGAUCUGCCUGCCUCCGCUUCCCAAAGUGGUGGGAUUGUAGGCAUGAGCCAUCAUGCCUGGCCUGCUGUGAGUUUUAAAUAAAAAUGUAAAUGCUCUUCUCCAUUUUCUUACCUCUCCUUUUAAAGUGUGUGUGUGUGUGUUUUUUUUUUAAUGUCAUAUAAGUAAUACGUAUUCGUGGUAGAAAUAUUUUUUUAAAAAAUAGAAGCAAAAAAGUCACAAUCAUCCUAAUUAUCACUAUUUGUAGAUAAUCACUACAUUUUGACACAUAUAAUUCUAGAGUUUUACCUAUAUAAAUGAUACACUUAUUACUAUCUGUAGGCACUAUGUUAAGCAUUUUAUAUUAUCUUUGUUUUUCUUUCUAAUGGCUUUAUAAAAUUUGGUUUGUGUUUAUAUUCUAAGUAGAAAACUAAGGUAUACAGAAGCUUGCUUAACAUCCCAAAGAAAGAUAAUAAGUAUAGUUGGAAUUUGUUAUACAUUCCACUAAAAUUUUCUUCUAAUAAAAAUUGGAUCUGUCUUUAACAAACAUUCUGCAGCAUUUAUGUCCAUUAAAUCUUCAUGUGUGGUUUAAGGGUUAUUCCUGAAGUCUCUAGAUCACAUGCUCCCAAAGUUUUUCCUGUGCUUCUUAUUUUGAGGCUCAUAUUACCCUUGUAAAUACUGCUUUCAUACAUGAUUUAUAGUUAUUAUGCAUCUUAAUAACUUAUCAAUUUUAAAAUGUUGACAUCAUCAGACUGUAAGCUCUGCAAGCAGAAAGCCUACAGUUCCCACAACCAGUUCCAUGCUGCGUAUCAUCAUAGGUACCUGGUAAGUAAGUGUAUUGCUUAAUAUCCAAGUGAAAAACAUUGUUAUAUUUGAUCAUGCAAAUAAAUACAGGUCACAGCACUGUUUGUAAUGGUUGCAU